rnacentral:rRNA from 1 species
GACGAACGCUGGCGGCGUGCCUAAUACAUGCAAGUAGAACGCACAGUUUAUACCGUAGCUUGCUACACCAUAGACUGUGAGUUGCGAACGGGUGAGUAACGCGUAGGUAACCUGCCUGGUAGCGGGGGAUAACUAUUGGAAACGAUAGCUAAUACCGCAUAAUAUUGAUUAUUGCAUGAUAAUUGAUUGAAAGAUGCUAUUGCAUCACUACCAGAUGGACCUGCGUUGUAUUAGCUAGUAGGGGAGGUAACGGCUCACCUAGGCGACGAUACAUAGCCGACCUGAGAGGGUGAUCGGCCACACUGGGACUGAGACACGGCCCAGACUCCUACGGGAGGCAGCAGUAGGGAAUCUUCGGCAGUGGACGAAAGUCUGACCGAGCAACGCCGCGUGAGUGAAGAAGGUUUUCGGAUCGUAAAGCUCUGUUGUAAGAGAAGAACGGGUGUGAGAGUGGAAAGUUCACACUGUGACGGUAUCUUACCAGAAAGGGACGGCUAACUACGUG